rnacentral:rRNA from 1 species
UGGGGAAUAUUGGACAAUGGGCGCAAGCCUGAUCCAGCCAUGCCGCGUGGGUGAUGAAGGCCUUAGGGUUGUAAAGCCCUUUCGGCGGGGAAGAUAAUGACGGUACCCGCAGAAGAAGCCCCGGCUAACCUCGUGCCAGCAGCCGCGGUAAUACGAAGGGGGCUAGCGUUAAUCGGAAUUACUGGGCGUAAAGCGUGCGCAGGCGGUUCGGAAAGAAAGGUGUGAAAUCCCAGGGCUUAACCUUGGAACUGCACUUUUAACUACCGGGCUAGAGUACGUCAGAGGGGGGUAGAAUUCCACGUGUAGCAGUGAAAUGCGUAGAGAUGUGGAGGAAUACCGAUGGCGAAGGCAGCCCCCUGGGAUGAUACUGACGCUCAUGCACGAAAGCGUGGGGAGCAAACA